AAGCUGAACAUUGUCUGCAUUUUUUUGUAUGAAUUUGGUAUGAAUGAAUUAUUCUUUUGCACAGCAUUUAUGGGGAGAGGGCAGGAGAGAGAGGGAGAGGGAGAGGGAGAGCGCAGGAGAGAGAGGGAGAGGGAGAGAGAACCUUUUGAAUGAUCACAGGGCGUGUCUGGUUUCUACUUGAAAAGGCCCAUUCUAUGGACCAAACACAUCUAAUCUACAGCCAAUCCCUAGGACCCCAAGAGCCUCUGCAAUUCUAUACUGACCUAGCCUUCAUCGCUCUUAGGUUCCCACCCAUACUGCAUGUUCCCCUAUUGGAGAAUAGCUUCUGUCUUCUCCCCCAUCUGAACGUUCUGGCAAGCGUUAAUGAACCACACCAAACCCACACAUGCAUAGCAGGGCCCCACCCAAAACAGCUGUGCCUUUUCUCACACAAACAGCAGCGGCCCUGUAACAAAAAGGAUGUUUGUCUGGUAGUUGAUGCAGCAAUCUGUUUUUCCAGUAAAGCGCAGUAACGAAGCACGUGGAACAUACUCCGAAUUCAGCGGUGCAAGUCUGAACCACAAGCAUCUCCAACUGUAGCCAUAUAUACUGUUUAAGACACCUCCUACACUUUUAAUGUAAAUGAGCUAGGCUUCAAAUGCAAACAGGUCUGGCAACCUUUUGUUGUUCUGUAUGAUAUUCAGGUUUCUCUGACCUACUGCCUGAGAUGGUUCUUAAUGGCCUACCCCCAUUCCCGUACUAUAUUUGGUUGCAGUCACUCACACCUCAGUUUGCUUCCUGGCCCCAGGUGUCUGUGAGCAAUACCAGUGUGGGCACCUUUCCUUUUAAGGUUACCAUGAUAAGAUUAUCAUUUGUGAGAUUAUGCUGGCCAACCUUUGGUGGUCACAGAAGUUGCUUGAUCAUGAAUGUCAUGUUCUCUCGCAGGAUAUAUUAUAAUUUCUUACAGCCCCAAUACGACUGACUCACAUAGCUCCUUCAUAAUGCCAUAACACAGAUGCGGCGCUUACAUGAUAACAUAGACCAGGUUGCACACAUCAAAUAAUCAUCAAAACAAACAAACAAUUGAGAAUUGACCAUCAUUACCAUAUAAGGCUGUUUAGAGUGUGGUGAGGGCUAGGCUAGAGAAACAGGUAGAGGUGAAUGAGCCUUUUGUUUGACUCACAGGGCCGGCCUCA
rnacentral:lncRNA from 1 species